AGAGUUUGAUCCUGGCUCAGGAUAAACGCUGGCGGCGUGCAUGAGACAUGCAAGUCGAACGGACGAUCGGGGCUUGCUCCGAUCGUUAGUGGCGGACGGCUGAGUAACGCGUAGGUGACCUGCCCCGAAGUGGGGAAUAACUGCCCGAAAGGGUGGCUAAUACCGCAUGUGCCGGUGCGUUCAUUCGUACCAGCAAAGCCGCAAGGCGCUUCGGGAGGGGCCUGCGUCCGAUUAGCUCGUUGGUGGGGUAACGGCUCACCAAGGCGACGAUCGGUAGGUGGUCUGAGAGGACGAUCACCCAGACUGGGACUGAGACACGGCCCAGACUCCUACGGGAGGCAGCAGUCGGGAAUUUUGCGCAAUGGGCGAAAGCCUGACGCAGCAACGCCGCGUGAGGGAUGAAGGCCUUCGGGUUGUAAACCUCUUUUUUCAGGGAAGAUAAUGACGGAACCUGGAGAAUAAGUCACUGCUAACUACGGGCCAGCAGCCGCGGUAAUCCGUAGGUGACAAGCGUUGUCCGGAUUUACUGGGCGUAAAGAGCGCGCAGGCGGUCGUUCAAGUCGAGUGUGAAAGCCCCCGGCUCAACUGGGGAGGGUCACUCGAUACUGAUCGACUCGAAGGCAGGAGAGGGAAGCGGAAUUCCCGGUGUAGUGGUGAAAUGCGUAGAUAUCGGGAGGAACACCAGUGGCGAAGGCGGCUUUCUGGCCUGUUCUUGACGCUGAGGCGCGAAAGCUAGGGGAGCAAACGGGAUUAGAUACCCCGGUAGUCCUAGCCGUAAACGAUGGACACUAGGUGUUGGUGUUCGCACCCCCGCCAGUGCCGAAGCUAACGCAUUAAGUGUCCCGCCUGGGGAGUACGGCCGCAAGGCUAAAACUCAAAGGAAUUGAC
rnacentral:rRNA from 1 species